GAUGAACGCUGGCGGCGUGCCUAAUACAUGCAAGUCGAGCGAACAGACGAUGAGCUUGCUCCUUUGACGUUAGCGGCGGACGGGUGAGUAACACGUGUAUAACCUACCUAUAAUUCUGGGAUAACUUCGAGAAACCGGAUCUAAUACCGGAUAAUAUAUUGAACCGCAUGGUUCAAUAGUGAAAGUCGGUUUUGCUGUCACUUAUAGAUGGUUCCGCGCCGCAUUAUCUAGUUGGUAAGGUAACGGCUUAUCAAGGCAACGAUGCGUAGCCGAGCUGAGAGGGUGAUCGGCCACACUGGAACUGAGACACGGUCCAGACUCCUACGGGAGGCAGCAGUAGUGAAUCUUCCGCAAUGGGCGAAAGCCUGACGGAGCAACGACGCGUGAGUGAUGAAGGUCGUCGGAUCGUAAAACUCUGUUAUUAGGGAAGAACAAAUGUGUAAGUAACUAUGCACGUCUUGACGGUACCUAAUCAGAAAGCCACGGCUAACUACG
rnacentral:rRNA from 1 species